GUUAUCGUUUAUUUGAUAGUACCUUACUACUUGGAUAACCGUGGUAAUUCUAGAGCUAAUACAUGCUGAAAACCCCAACUUCGGGAGGGGUGUAUUUAUUAGAUAAAAAACCAACGCCCUUCGGGGCUUCUUGGUGAUUCAUGACAACUUCACGGAUCGCAUGGCCUUGCGCCGGCGACGGUUCAUUCAAAUUUCUGCCCUAUCAACUUUCGAUGGUAAGGUAUUGGCUUACCAUGGUUUCAACGGGUAACGGGGAAUUAGGGUUCGAUUCCGGAGAGGGAGCCUGAGAAACGGCUACCACAUCCAAGGAAGGCAGCAGGCGCGCAAAUUACCCAAUCCCGACACGGGGAGGUAGUGACAAUAAAUACUGAUACAGGGCUCUUUUGGGUCUUGUAAUUGGAAUGAGUACAAUUUAGACCUCUUAACGAGGAACAAUUGGAGGGCAAGUCUGGUGCCAGCAGCCGCGGUAAUUCCAGCUCCAAUAGCGUAUAUUAAAGUUGUUGCAGUUAAAAAGCUCGUAGUUGAAACUUGG
rnacentral:rRNA from 1 species